rnacentral:miRNA from 1 species
UACCUUGUUGAUUGGAAGGAAACCCUUCCAAUCAGAGAGGUACAUCUACCUCUUUGAUCGGAAGGGUUCCCUUCCGAUCAACGAGGUA